GACGAACGCUGGCGGUGUGCUUAACACAUGCAAGUCGUGCGACGGACCAGACUUCGGUCUGGGGCAAAGCGGCGAACGGGUGAGUAACACGUGGGUAAUCUGCCCCGAUGACUGGGACAACCCGAGGAAACUCGGGCUAAUACCGGAUGUGGUGCCUGGACUCAAGUCCGGUCACUAAAGGUAGCUUCGGCUUCCGCAUUGGGAGGGGCCCGCGGCCCAUUAGCUUGUUGGUGGGGUCAAGGCCUACCAAGGCAACGAUGGGUAGCUGGUCUGAGAGGACGAUCAGCCACACUGGGACUGAGACACGGCCCAGACUCCUACGGGAGGCAGCAGUGGGGAAUCUUGCGCAAUGCGCGAAAGCGUGACGCAGCAACACCGCGUGAGGGAAGACGGCCUUAGGUUGUAAACCUCUUUCAGAUGGGACGAAGGUGAUGCGGUG
rnacentral:rRNA from 1 species